AUGGCGGGUGCUGCACCACGCAAUGGUGAUUCGGCGGCCUCAGCGCUACUUCAGGCAACGACCACCCGGCGCCCUUGGGGCUGCUCCGACGCGACGACGAGUCUGACGGCCUUGGCGCUGCCCGUCCUGCCCGUCCCACCCCAGUGCGAUGGCAGCCCGCUGACCUUGGCGCUGCUUGCCCUUCGAACGUGCAGCCUAAAGGAAAAAUUAAGUUCCCCAGAAAUCCACUAUAAAGAAAUCACAGAGUAUUGA
rnacentral:rRNA from 1 species